UAUAAGGUCUAAUCUGCCCAAUGAGUGAUUAAAUGGCCGCGGUAUUUUGACCGUGCAAAGGUAGCAUAAUAAUUAGUUUUUUAAUUGAAAGCUGGAAUGAAUGAUUGGACGAGAGAAUUUCUGUCUCAAUUUAAUUUAUUUUGAAUUUUAUUUUUAAGUAAGAAAGCUUAAAUUUUUUUAAAAGACGAGAAGACCCUAUAGAGUUUUAUAAAUUUUUUUAUAUUUAUUGGUGGGAAUUUUUUUAUAUUUAUUGGAAGAUUUAUUUUAUUGGGGCGAUAGAAAAAUUUAUUUAACUUUUUUUUUAUUUUUUACAUUAAUAUAUGAUUUUUUGAUCCAAUUUUGUUGAUUAUAAGAUUAAAUUACCUUAGGGAUAACAGCGUAAUUUUUUUUUAGAGUUCUUAUCGAAAAAAGAGUUUGCGACCUCGAUGUUGGAUUAAAAUUAAUUCUUGGUGUAGAAGUUAAGAAAUUAGGUCUGUUCGACCUUUAAAAUUUUACA
rnacentral:rRNA from 1 species